rnacentral:piRNA from 1 species
UAGGCUUGACGGUGCUUAUGCUUAGAC